GGUUAAGCGACUAAGCGUACACGGUGGAUGCCCUGGCAGUCAGAGGCGAUGAAGGACGUGCUAAUCUGCGAUAAGCGUCGGUAAGGUGAUAUGAACCGUUAUAACCGGCGAUUUCCGAAUGGGGAAACCCAGUGUGUUUCGACACACUAUCAUUAACUGAAUCCAUAGGUUAAUGAGGCGAACCGGGGGAACUGAAACAUCUAAGUACCCCGAGGAAAAGAAAUCAACCGAGAUUCCCCCAGUAGCGGCGAGCGAACGGGGAGGAGCCCAGAGCCUGAAUCAGUGUGUGUGUUAGUGGAAGCGUCUGGAAAGGCGCGCGAUACAGGGUGACAGCCCCGUACACAAAAAUGCACAUACUGUGAGCUCGAUGAGUAGGGCGGGACACGUGGUAUCCUGUCUGAAUAUGGGGGGACCAUCCUCCAAGGCUAAAUACUCCUGACUGACCGAUAGUGAACCAGUACCGUGAGGGAAAGGCGAAAAGAACCCCGGCGAGGGGAGUGAAAAAGAACCUGAAACCGUGUACGUACAAGCAGUGGGAGCACGCUUCGGCGUGUGACUGCGUACCUUUUGUAUAAUGGGUCAGCGACUUAUAUUCUGUAGCAAGGUUAACCGAAUAGGGGAGCCGAAGGGAAACCGAGUCUUAACUGGGCGUUAAGUUGCAGGGUAUAGACCCGAAACCCGGUGAUCUAGCCAUGGGCAGGUUGAAGGUUGGGUAACACUAACUGGAGGACCGAACCGACUAAUGUUGAAAAAUUAGCGGAUGACUUGUGGCUGGGGGUGAAAGGCCAAUCAAACCGGGAGAUAGCUGGUUCUCCCCGAAAGCUAUUUAGGUAGCGCCUCGUGAAUUCAUCUCCGGGGGUAGAGCACUGUUUCGGCAAGGGGGUCAUCCCGACUUACCAACCCGAUGCAAACUGCGAAUACCGGAGAAUGUUAUCACGGGAGACACACGGCGGGUGCUAACGUCCGUCGUGAAGAGGGAAACAACCCAGACCGCCAGCUAAGGUCCCAAAGUCAUGGUUAAGUGGGAAACGAUGUGGGAAGGCCCAGACAGCCAGGAUGUUGGCUUAGAAGCAGCCAUCAUUUAAAGAAAGCGUAAUAGCUCACUGGUCGAGUCGGCCUGCGCGGAAGAUGUAACGGGGCUAAACCAUG
rnacentral:rRNA from 1 species